CAAUAGCGUAUAUUAAAGUUGUUGCGGUUAAAAAGCUCGUAGUUGGAUUUCUGCCGAGGACGUCCGGUCCGCCCUCUGGGUGUGUACAUGGUACGGCCUGGGCAUCUUCUUGGAAAACGUAUCUGCACUUGACUGUGUGGUGCGGUAUCCAGGACUUUUACUUUGAGGAAAUUAGAGUGUUUCAAGCAGGCCUACGCCUUGAAUACAUUAGCAUGGAAUAAUAAGAUAGGACCUCGGUUCUAUUUUGUUGGUUUCUAGAGCUGAGGUAAUGAUUAAUAGGGAUAGUUGGGGGCAUUCGUAUUUAACUGUCAGAGGUGAAAUUCUUGGAUUUGUUAAAGACGGUCUACUGCGAAAGCAUUUGCCAAGGAUGUUUUCAUUGA
rnacentral:rRNA from 1 species